AGCAGCCGCGGUAAUUCCAGCUCCAAUAGCGUAUAUUAAAGUUGUUGCAGUUAAAAAGCUCGUAGUUGAAUUUCGGGAUUGACGUGAUGGUCGUGCCUUAAGGGGUAUGAACUGUUGCAGUCAAUUUCUCACCUUCUGGAGAAAUAUAAUGUCCUUAAUUGGGUGUUAUAUGAAACCAGAACUUUUACCUUGAAAAAAUUAGAGUGUUUAAAGCAGGCAUAUUGCUCGAAUACAUUAGCAUGGAAUAAUAAAAUAGGACGGCAUGGUUCUAUUUUGUUGGUUUCUAGGAUCGAUGUAAUGAUUAAUAGGGAUAGUUGGG
rnacentral:rRNA from 1 species